rnacentral:rRNA from 1 species
GACGAACGCUGGCGGCGUGCUUAACACAUGCUUAGUCGAACGGAAAGGCCCUGCUUUUGUGGGGUGCUCGAGUGGCGAACGGGUGAGUAACACGUGAGUAACCUGCCCUUGACUUUGGGAUAACUUCGGGAAACUGGGGCUAAUACCGGAUAGGAGCUCCUGCUGCAUGGUGGGGGUUGGAAAGUUUCGGCGGUUGGGGAUGGACUCGCGGCUUAUCAGCUUGUUGGUGGGGUAGUGGCUUACCAAGGCUUUGACGGGUAGCCGGCCUGAGAGGGUGACCGGCCACAUUGGGACUGAGAUACGGCCCAGACUCCUACGGGAGGCAGCAGUGGGGAAUAUUGCACAAUGGGCGGAAGCCUGAUGCAGCAACGCCGCGUGCGGGAUGACGGCCUUCGGGUUGUAAACCGCUUUCGCCUGUGACGAAGCGUGAGUGACGGUAAUGGGUAAAGAAGCACCGGCUAACUACGUGCCAGCAGCCGCGGUGAUACGUAGGGUGCGAGCGUUGUCCGGAUUUAUUGGGCGUAAAGGGCUCGUAGGUGGUUGAUCGCGUCGGAAGUGUAAUCUUGGGGCUUAACCCUGAGCGUGCUUUCGAUACGGGUUGACUUGAGGAAGGUAGGGGAGAAUGGAAUUCCUGGUGGAGCGGUGGAAUGCGCAGAUAUCAGGAGGAACACCAGUGGCGAAGGCGGUUCUCUGGGCCUUUCCUGACGCUGAGGAGCGAAAGCGUGGGGAGCGAACAGGCUUAGAUACCCUGGUAGUCCACGCUGUAAACGGUGGGUACUAGGUGUGGGGUCCAUUCCACGGGUUCCGUGCCGUAGCUAACGCUUUAAGUACCCCGCCUGGGGAGUACGGCCGCAAGGCUAAAACUCAAAGGAAUUGACGGGGCCCCGCACAAGCGGCGGAGCAUGCGGAUUAAUUCGAUGCAACGCGUAGAACCUUACCUGGGUUUGACAUGGAUCGGGAGUGCUCAGAGAUGGGUGUGCCUCUUUUGGGGUCGGUUCACAGGUGGUGCAUGGCUGUCGUCAGCUCGUGUCGUGAGAUGUUGGGUUAAGUCCCGCAACGAGCGCAACCCUUGUUCACUGUUGCCAGCACGUUAUGGUGGGGACUCAGUGGAGACCGCCGGGGUCAACUCGGAGGAAGGUGGGGAUGACGUCAAGUCAUCAUGCCCCUUAUGUCCAGGGCUUCACGCAUGCUACAAUGGCUGGUACAGAGAGUGGCGAGCCUGUGAGGGUGAGCGAAUCUCGGAAAGCCGGUCUCAGUUCGGAUUGGGGUCUGCAACUCGACCUCAUGAAGUCGGAGUCGCUAGCAAUCGCAGAUCAGCAACGCUGCGGUGAAUACGUUCCCGGG